UCCCUGGUGGUCCAGUGGUUAGGACUCAGCUGUCAUUCCCGAGCACACAGGUUCAAUCCUUGUCCAGGGAA
rnacentral:tRNA from 1 species